rnacentral:lncRNA from 1 species
CUUAGGAUGUUUUCGUUUCUAUUUAAGUAUUUACAAGUAAAUAAGCUAUUUUAUUCAGCCAUCAAAAAAUACUGUAACUAAAAUACGUUGCUGCUGCUGUAUGGUAGCUGGAUCAUUAAUUUAAUAUAAUGGCUUCAUUUUAGAGACAGGCUUUUUAUCAGCAAGCCUAGUCAAUCCAAUAGUAAAGGUCACAACUCAUCUGUUUUUGUUUUAUUGCUUCACCAUUUGCCAGCUUACAGAACUACAUGGAAAGCUAAAUCUGUUCAAGAGAAGACUCUCAUGAGAGAAAAAGAAGCUACAAUGUGGGGGAUACUUGUUCCUCCACCACGUGUUUCCAGCAGUUUAUGGAUGACAUAUAAGCAGUGCUCAGGAAUCCCUGCCAAGCUCUGUACACCUGGCAAGUAUGAAAAGAGCCCAGAAGGUAUCUUUGAUCAUCAAGGCCUUCCAUCACUAUCCUAUAGAAAUUCACUGUGGAAUGGCUAA